GAAGCCCAGUGGUGGAGUCUAAUUGGGCUGGGAUGGAAGACGAAUUUGACAUUAGAAAGGAUGUCAGAAGACAGCUGGGAAACUGACUUCACUAGAGGAACUGGAUUCCCACCCUUCUGUAGCGGAAGAUUCCCUGCUCCCGCCAGCCAGUGCACGGCAGUUUGUUGGUUGCCCAGAUAAUGGUUCCAGUUCCUGUCACUUUCGUUUCUUAGAAAUGACUGGUCACUGUGAUGCAUGCUGUAAGAACCAAUCCACAGUUAACAAGCCACUCUGCCUGUGUUCUUUCUGCUUGCUUAUCCCAU
rnacentral:lncRNA from 1 species